UGAUAAUUUAUUUGAUGACAUAUUAUAACAUGAGUGCUGCUACGGGUACUAGUAUUAUUGGUAUAUGGGGCGCAUUUUCAAGUGGAUUAGCUAUUGUUGGGGCGAUUAUUGCUGAUUGUUAUUGGGGUCGAUUUAAUGCUGUUGCCUAUGGAACCAUCUUCACUUUUAUUGGAAUGGUUAUUCUUUGGCUAACAUCAAUGAUUCCGCAACUCACGACUUUGGCCUGUUCUCAGUUGCAACAUGUUUGUAAUGGACCAACAGCAUUCCAGCUUGCUGUUCUGUUUUCAUCUUUUGUGUUUACGUCUAUCGGAGCUGGUUUUGUUAGACCUUGUUCUAUAAUGUUUGGUGCUGAUCAAUUGGAACAAAAAGGGAACCCUAAGAAUGAGAAGAUUAUUGAAAGCUAUUUCAAUUGGUACUAUGCUAGCUCAGGGGUUUCAACGAUUCUCGCAGUUACUCUUAUCGUUUAUAUUCAAGAUCUUUAUGGUUGGAAAGUUGGCUUUGGUGUCCCUGCUAUCCUUAUGUUUUUGUCCGUCUUAACGUUCCAAAUCGGUUCUCCUCUUUAUAUCAAAGUGAAAACUGAUACAAACAACUUGCUAGUAGGAUUGUCCCAAGCAUGUGUAGCAGCAUUUAGAAAAAGAAAAACCC
rnacentral:misc_RNA from 1 species